AAUAAACUGGACUGUGCUCUUGUUUUUUUCUGUAAGUUUUUGUAAUAGACUUUGUCAUUUGACUUUGGAAGUUGAUUGGAAUAACAAGGGCAGUUUUCAUAGCAAGAAAGUCCAGUUUUCCUGCCUAUAAUCCUUUGCCAAAACCAUCUUCUUUCUUUCACCUUCAAUUUGCUCUUCUCCCCCAACCCUCCUCCUCCUCCUUCCCCAGGAAACUCAUUCA
rnacentral:misc_RNA from 1 species